UUCAUUUUAACCCCAUAUAAAACCCUAAUAUUUCCCAAACCCUAAACCUAAAUCCCAACCUAAAUCGGCACCCCCCUCCCCAGCCUCUGCCCGCGUCCCUUGCCACUCUAACUCACCGGAAAACUCAACAAAUUGGCCGAGUUAACUCACAUGGUCCCCUCAUGGUCCCCCCUCAUCAUUAGGAUUUGAUUCUAAGCAUUUCUUCCUAUUUUUCAUUUUUCGGAUUUCUCUUUUAGGCGAAAAUAGGAAAAUGAGAUGCGUAGGAUUGAGUUGCACUCGAUCUACUCCCUCCAUUUCUCUUAUCUCACCAAUAGAAGAGAUUUUUCGAUUUUGGUUUUGAUUAUCUGAGAAUUUCGUGGAGAUUUUCGAUUUCUUGGAAAGGAAGGAAGGAGAAGCUUCUAGGCUCCCUAUAAAUGAGAGAAUUUUUGGAUAGAAAGGGAGGGGGAGAGGAAUUUCAAAAAGAAAGAAAAAAAGGUUCGAGGAUUCUUCCAAUUUUUCCAUUUUGGUUAAGAGAGUCAAACAAAUAGUUGAAACCUUUUGGUUAGAGUUCUGUUUUUUUUUUUCAUUUCAAAAAUCUGAAAACAAAAAAAAAUAUUUAGUUUAGUUGUUCUUUUAUUUUCGGUUUUCUUCCUCCAAUUUUGGAUUCCACACUGUUCGAUUUUGUUGUUUCGACAUGGAGAUUGAUUGAGCCGAAGUCGAGUUUACCAUUCGAGUCUUGGUUGCUGGUUCGAUUCCUGUUCAUCUGCUGAUGUUAUUUCAAGUAUCCAUUGUCGGAUUUAUUUGUACUCGCCUCCAAACAAACUUAAUUGAAGAAUUUCGCAUUCUCAGGUUCAUCUCCUCUCUCAUUAUAUUUGUGUACUGUGUUUGUGGUGAAUUAAGCAUGGGAAGAGCCAUUCUAAGAUGGGGAUUUAAGUCACACAUGAUAUAGAGUCGCUUCCAUGUUUCUAUGUUCUUAGAUGCUGAAAUUAAUGUUGAUUAGGCUCGUCAGAUUCAUUCUUGAAUAGUUCACAAAGUGUUGAGAUUUAAUUAAAUUGGUUUAGCGUAAUAAUGCUCGCGUUCUUGAUCUUUUUGUUCGGAUCUCUGUUUUGUGUGAAUCUGCAGCAAGUUGCUAAAAUGCCUAAACAAUGAUAUUGAUCUUCGAAUUUUUGUUAUAGCAUGGACUAUGUGUGGAAUUUUACCUCUAUCAACUGAGAUAUUUCUAUAUGUGCCAAAACAAUGAUUUCACUUCUUUUAAAUCAUUUGCUUAGUUGAAAUCUCCAUGACGUGGUUCGGAUUCAUGAAUGAAUUAACUGUGUGAAGCAUAAUUCACGUUCAUUGAUUUGAAGUUAACUGUCAUAGCGUUUGCUUUCAUGGUGGAACGGUAGUUCUUCAUAGUGUUUCCUCAUGUUAAGUAAAUAAAGUGAUAUGAAACUGAGAUUUACCAGAUGUUGCUUAAUUCCAUAUGCCAUAAUUAAGUUGCUUCUAGUUGAAAUGGAAACAUCAUCAAUGAUAUGGGAUUAAGAGAGCCUACUGGUUGUGCUAUUUGCUUCAUGCUCUGAAUGUCAUUACCUUCUUUGGUGUUUCACGUUGCAUAUAUGUCUGUUUCUAAUAGAGAUUUGUGAUGACUUCUGUCACACCUCCUUUUUACCUGCGCCCGCAGGGUGUAAAGUAUAAGGGAGUUUUUUUCAAAUAAAGGACAAUCGAAACGGGAUUUGUUAUGAAAGAUUUAGAGUCGCCACUUGGGAGAUUUAUGGCGUCCCAAGUCACCGGUUGAAUCCCAAAUCGAGGAAAAGAAUAAAUCUGUUUAACAGUCCGCGAACCAGAAAUCCGAGUAAGGAAUUUUGUUAACCUGGAAGAAGGUGUUAGGCAUUCCCGAGUUCCGUGGUUCUAUCACGGUCGCUCAAUUGUUAUAUUCGUCUUAAUUAUCUAGUUUUUAUACAUGUUUUAACCUAUGUGCAUUAUAACUUUUAAACGCUUUUAUUAUUAUUUUUAAAGAGAAUUGCAGCGUCGUUAAAACACGUCUCGAACCACGUCACAUAAAUGCACCCGCGGUCUUUGACAUAUUUCAACUUCGUUGGGAUUUGAAUUUGGGUCACAUAAAUGCGCACCUGAGUUUAGGAAGGUAAAAUUAUUAAAAUACGCGCUUAAAGCUUUUCGCGUUUGCAACUUUGCGAGGGCCAAGGAGUUUGCUAAACGACACGCCUCGAUUUCUAAAGAGUCGAAGUUAAUUAUCCGAGGGCCAUGCAUUUGAGAUUUUAUUUGACAUGGCACACCUCAAUUUUAUUAUAGGAAAAACACUCAACUAGGUGAACUAUGGAUAUUCAUAUUUAAAACUAGUUUAAGAUUAAGUAUCACAACCAUGCCAUGGGAACCAUACCUGUAGUUGUAGUAAAUUAAUUACGUGCCUAAAGUAAACUACGACAUUUAUGAACCAUAUCCAUUACCAGAAUACUUGUUUUUCUAAAGAUAUAAAUAAAACCCCCAUAGCUUUGGCAGUAUAUCAAGUGACAGACACAAAUGCAACUCAAAUCAAUAUGUAAUUUAUAUGCCAACACGAAGUAUCCUGUCAUGUUUUAAUAGCAUAACUUUGCUGGAAAAGACAAUGUCAAACCUUUGUAGUAAGUGAUCACAAAUAUUAUCAAAAAAAUUUCAUUCUCAUAACAAGUGAUAGUAUAGAAUAUCAUACACAGUAACACAGCCCGAAUCAACCCAAGGAUCAACUAUCGUAAACAUCAAUACUACAUCUUGGAAUGAUUAAAACUUUAAAGCCAAAUUACCUAGCUUCUUUACUUAUAACUUGCCUCCCAGCCAAGCACAAAGUGUCCCAAGCUUAAAGACCACAAAUGCGACUAUAACAUAUAUACAUGUUCCUUUUUUAAAAGAAACCAAUGUGUAUAUACAUAGUAUCCAAGUUCACCAGUCAGUGCCUUAUGUGCACAAAUUAAAAUCUAAUUAACAUAAUUGGCAAUUACUUUCUAUAUAGAGAGACAGAUAAGGCAAGCUAAUUUACGUUUAGCAACAAAACAGUAGCCCAAACUGCUACGAAAAGUGUAGUAUACAUAUUAAACCAAAUUGACAAAAAAAAGAUUAGAAGAUGAACAAAAAUUCAAACCUUAACUAUUCACAAAAUCGACCUUCCUAUAAGGUUAACUACUAAAGAUAACAAAAUUAUUUUGAGAAAACUAGCCAAGAUCAGAAAACUACUAUCAUUCAUGGAUUAAAAGGGAACAAACAUUUUCUUGCCGAAACUUUAAACCAACAAAAACCAACAAAAUAUGACAAACUAGUUUAUGCCAAAAAUGAACAGAAAAAUAAAAAUGUUCAACCAAUCAGUACGUAUGAGCCAAACAUUUAUACAAAUACCCCUUAUAAAGAAUUCAAACUUAUAUAUUAAUCGAGAAUAAAGUAAUGGAAGGACCUUAUCUUGGCCUCUCACGAAAUCAAACAAAGAAAAGCUAAGGCAAAUACAGCUUGCAUUCCAUAAGAUUUCUACUUGAAUUACACAAUCACAUUCACAUUGUUGCUUGUAGAUAGAGGAAUACCUGGAAUUGGAAAAGAAAAAGGAGAGGAAGAUCAGCAAUAAAAGCAGCAGCACACAGCAACAAAC
rnacentral:lncRNA from 1 species